rnacentral:rRNA from 1 species
UACGAAGGGGGCUAGCGUUGCUCGGAAUCACUGGGCGUAAAGCGCACGUAGGCGGCUUUUUAAGUCAGGGGUGAAAUCCCGGAGCUCAACUCCAGAACUGCCUUUGAUACUGGGGAGCUUGAGUCCGGGAGAGGUGAGUGGAACUCCGAGUGUAGAGGUGAAAUUCGUAGAUAUUCGGAAGAACACCAGUGGCGAAGGCGGCUCACUGGCCCGGUACUGACGCUGAGGCACGGAAAAGCGUGGGGAGCAAACAGG